rnacentral:rRNA from 1 species
GACAGAGGGUGCAAACGUUGUUCGGAAUUACUGGGCGUAAAGCGCGUGUAGGCUGCUCAGAAAGUCGGAUGUGAAAGCCCCUGGGCUUAACCUAGGAAGUGCAUUCGAAACUUCUGAGCUGGAGUUCUGGAGAGGAAGGCGGAAUUCUCGGUGUAGAGGUGAAAUUCGUAGAUAUCGAGAGGAACACCGGUGGCGAAGGCGGCCUUCUGGACAGUGACUGACGCUGAGGCGCGAAAGCCAGGGGAGCAAACGGG